rnacentral:rRNA from 1 species
GAUGAACGCUGGCGGCGUGCCUAAUACAUGCAAGUCGAGCGAACAGACGAGGAGCUUGCUCCUCUGACGUUAGCGGCGGACGGGUGAGUAACACGUGGAUAACCUACCUAUAAGACUGGGAUAACUUCGGGAAACCGGAGCUAAUACCGGAUAAUAUAUUGAACCGCAUGGUUCAAUAGUGAAAGACGGUUUUGCUGUCACUUAUAGAUGGAUCCGCGCCGCAUUAGCUAGUUGGUAAGGUAACGGCUUACCAAGGCAACGAUGCGUAGCCGACCUGAGAGGGUGAUCGGCCACACUGGAACUGAGACACGGUCCAGACUCCUACGGGAGACAGCAGUAGGGAAUCUUCCGCAAUGGGCGAAAGCCUGACGGAGCAACGCCGCGUGAGUGAUGAAGGUCUUCGGAUCGUAAAACUCUGUUAUUAGGGAAGAACAAAUGUGUAAGUAACUAUGCACGUCUUGACGGUACCUAAUCAGAAAGCCACGACUAACUACGUG